CUUCAACGAGGAUUAGAACAUCCGACAUUAAAAUGUCUCAGUGCAGCAGAAUUUCCCAGCGACUUCGGUGGCGGGAGAGCAGCACCUCUCAGGCACAGCUGUGCGCAUCCCUCGGGCCCCACCGACCGCACCAUCUGACCGCGGGAAACGAAAUCUGAGCUCAGGAAUUUGAACUGCCCCACGCACGUUCGUUCCCGGAUAAAUCUCCUAGAGGACCGUGAUUUUUCCACUUAGAGAUUAUUUAGGGAGAUGUCCUGGAUGGGACAAGUAGACAAAUGGCGGCCCGAGGAAAAUGCAGGAAACUCUACAUUGUAGACGCUUAAGCACCAACUGUCUGGGCCCCGGGGCAGGGAACGGGAGACAUUAUCCACCGGAAACAUCACACCCCCGGGGCUCCUGGCAUUUUCUACAUCAGUGAAUGUGCCAGCGAAGAAGAGUGUGGGGAAAUUUUCUGAACAUAGAAUUCAUAUUCCUGAAACGUUAAGUCGUGAAGUGGGUGCUUCAGCUGUCCCCCAGCUUUAGGAUUUUAACCCAGCUUUGGUUUUGAUCACCGAGAGUUAUUCCUUAUAAUCAAAUCAGCAAAAGCGUUCAAUUACCUAUUACUGGUUGAGAAAGAUUCCGUUCCCCCAGCUCAUUGUAUCGGUUCUUGGACCCAAGAUGUUAAUUAUCGGCCAGGCAUUCACAGGGGGUUAAUAUGGCCCCCCUCGACACCUUGCCUCGUACCAGAGACACCAAAAGCUGCCGCUGAGGGAUAAUAGAGAAUGGGAAAAGCUGGUCAUGAAAAACCUCUUUUAUUCUUACUUGCAAGCUACCCUUUUGACAUUCUUUUUUUAACACUAAAUGGAGAUUACUGAAUUGAUAACUUUUGGGUUUUCUCUGUCACACUGGGGUUUUUUUCCCCCCGUUUGUUUGUAAGGUUUUUUUGGUUUUGGUUUUGGUUUUGGGGGGAGGGGAAGGGGGAAGUGGAUAGGGAGAUGGAAGAGUGUUCUGUUACUGGUUUUAUCAAAUCCUGUUAGGUCUUGUUCUUCAGUGUAAUGUAGAAUGGAGAAGUUGCAUAAGUACAUGAUUGACAAACAAGGUCUCUUAGAAGAGAGUUAAGGAGUAGGAAAUAUAAUGUGUCCUGGAGAAAAAGAAAGAGAAAACCCUUAGUAUGACACACUGGCCUUUAAAUAGAGGACACAUGAAUAUGCAAAGGAGAGGCACGUGUGAAAUAAGGUGUGCCUUGCUGAGCCCUCCCGCCCCCACCCCCCAUGUAUCAAGAACUUUACUUACAUUAUCUCAUCUAAUUCUACCCACAACCCAAGAGGAAGGGCGAUACUUUUAAUUCGGGUUUUUACAGACAAGAAAUUUGUAUCUCAGAGGCCCAAAGUAAAUUGCCUGAGGGCAUAUAGCUACUUAGGACAGAAUUAGAAUUGAUUAAAGAGUCAAAAAUUCUUUGAGAAUUAAUGUUUUAAACUCUCGAUUAGUUACCAAGGGAAUCUGAGAAAUUAAUUAACUUUUGGGGGGAUCUUUAGAUUAGUGGGGAAAUUAUGUUAAGCCCAAAGAAAGACAAGCCCGUGAAUUUUCUUGUUAUCUAUGAAGUGGUUUGGUGAAAGGUGUGACAAUUUGAGAAAACUGAAAAGUGCUGAAAUUCCUUUAAUAAGGUUCUGUUUAAACUGAUAGAGCUACCAGAUAUAAUUAGGCAGAUAUCCAUUUUCUUCUGGAAGCUUCUAUUAUUUGAGAAGAAAACUGAAAAGCUUUAGACUGUUUCAAAUUAAGGACAAUUUGAAUUUUAGUUGGAAAGCGGAUAAACUAUCUGUAUGAUUGAGUUUAAAAGGCAUGGAAAGACUAUUACGAAGUAUUGAUCCCACUCAGUGAGAGCAAGCACAGCUUUCAAAUGAUACAGAUCUGGCUAUGAAUUUGAAUGGUGACUGUGCCUAGCUGUGUGACCAAGGGCAACUUUCUUAACCUCUCUGGGCCUCUGAGUCCUCGUCUUUAAAAUGAGACAAAUAAGCCCUUGCAAGACGCUUGUGAUGAUAAAAUAAAAGAGUAUGGGUGAAAGUCCUUAACAGAAUGCCUGAUAUGUAGCAGAUACUCAACAGAGUUAGCAAUGUUUCAUUUAAUUAAAGCAUUUGAGAGCAGGAUAGGGAGCACCACUAACUUCAGCUCUUCAACAAUUUUGCCUGGGGCUGGCUCUGGGGAAUAGACUUGGAUUCUCACGAGUAUGUGAAUCUUCAGUUACUUCCUUGAAAGGACAGACAGUUAUAAAAGCAAGCAGUGAAGUCUGGGAAGGUGGAGGAGAAUGGUUAUGGAAAGUUAUCCCCACAUCAUAAGUCUUCCUGAUCUUGAGAUCAAACAACAACACUUUCAGAAACAGCAAGAAAUUAAGGCUGAAGCAAAAUACCCCCUGUAUAAUUUUUAAGUCAGUUAAUAAUGAAGGUGUAAAUAAAACAGAAAUGUCUCUGUUCUUACUUAAAUCUUGAACAAAUAAGGGAUUUUUUUCUUUAGUGUUUUUUAAUAGUUUAAUCAUUUUUUAAGACACAAUUUUUGCCUAGUUACUGUUUACUAACUGCCCUGCCAAAAAUUAGUUAUUACUUCAGGACUUAUGUUUGAAUAGAACUGCGAAAUCCUGCUUUAAAAAGUACUAUGAAACAAUUCAUCAAAAUGUUUUCCUCUGAUAUUUUUUACCAGGUAAAGGCAAGAUUACUUCUGGAGAUUUUCUUUGAAAAUAAUGAUUUUUUUUUCCUGAUUAUGAAAGUAAUACACGUUCAUUAUGGACAAUUUAGUAUAAAAUGAGAGAACAAGCUAUAAAGGAGCAAACGAGAACACCCUUAUUCUCACCAGUAAGAGUUAACCACUUUUAAUAUUUUGAUGAUUUCUUUCAGUCUUUUUACCCUUUAUUUUUUUAGCCUUGGUACGAACCUAUGGAGUAUAAAAUUGUGCAUUCUUGUUUUUAUAUUUAUUUUCUCCCAUGUAACUAAAAAGGAUCUGUAACAUUUUUAGUGACUGUCUAAUUUUAUAUCAUACCAAUAUGAUAUAUUAGUAUCAUUUUUUAAGAAACAAUAGAGAAUUCUCUAUUGUUGAGUGUCUGUGAGUCCCAGUUUUUGCUAUUGUAAAUUAUGCUAAACAAAAAUCUGUGUGCAUAAAUCUCUGAGUUUAAGAUUAUUUCGUUAAGAUAGACUUCUAUAACAAGAAUUACUAGGUUCAUAUAAUACUUCUAAUGCUUUUGAAAUAUAUUGUCGUAUUGAUUUUAGCAGUUUUCAGUCCAAGCAGCAAUAGAUGAAGAGAGCUGUUCUCUCCUAAUGCCUCUAGUCAUAGUGACUGAUACCACAGCCAAAACAAAAAAAAAAAACAACAACAAAAAAAACAAAUCUUUUCUAAUUUGAUAGGCUAAAGAAAAGAUCUUGUUGUUUUAUUUGUAUUUUGGGAGGGCUACUGCCAUUGAACAGCUUUUCCAGAUGUUCAUUAGCCAUUUUCUCUUUUGUGAACUAUCUAUUACUGUCCUUUGCCUGUUUUUCUAUUGAGGCCUUAAUUUUUUUAACUGUAUUUAUAUAAACCCCACGUAUCAGCCCUUUGUUGUAAUUGUGGCAGUUUUUUCCCAUUUUACUUUUUGCAUUUUAAUGUUAUUCAUGAUUUUUGAUACAUAAAAAUGUUAAAGAUUUAUUUAGAUAAAUGUAUCAAGUAUUUUUUAAUUUUUUUAUGUUGCUCUACAGAAAAUCACCUAGAUAUUCACCUAUUUUUUUCUACUUGCAUUUUUAUGAGCUUGUUUUUACAUUUAAGUCUUUAUUGCUUUUGUACUUUAUUGCAUUGUGAGUUAAGAAUCUGAUUUUUCCCUCAAAUAGCUAGGCAGUUUUUCCAAUACCGUCAACUCAGUGUCCAUCUCCCCCUAGCUGAUUUACUGUGCCUCCACAUCAGAGACCUCUUUUGGUUGAUAAAGAUGCAGGGAUGCUCUUCACAGUACAGUUAUUAACAGCCAGAGCAAUAUAUGAGGAUCAACUAAUCGGAACCAGUCAUAAGCAUCAGAUUGGGCCAGCAAGCACAUCCCAGGUGAGGACCAAAAUUGCAAAUGGGACCUAAGAAGUUCCUGCAUGCAACAAAAGUGGUUUCCUUUCAAAGAAGGAUAUGUUUAAAUUAACUUAACAUGUUUAAAGGGGGACUCUCCUGUAAGUUUCAUUUGGAGCACGUGGAGUUUACAUUAGUUUCAUUGUGUUCAUUCAACAAACACUAGUUAAGCCACCCCUAUGGACAGGUUCUGUUUUAGUAUCUCAAUAGGUGAGAGAGAGAGAGAGACUCUAAACAGACAGACAGAUAGAUGAUAGAUAGACAGAUAAAUAGAUAGAUAAUCUCCCUAUUUCUCUCUUUCUGUGUGUGUCUUUCUCAUAUUGUCAAAAAAUGCUACUGAGCUCAGUGAAAUUCACAUUAAGUGGUAGUACCAAUUUUCUAUUAUUGAUGUCACAUCAUUUCUCUUUCAUUACAAUAAUUGUUACUGUUCUUUGGGAUACAUUCCCGGUCAACUCAUCCUUUCCUAAUAUGACACAAAUUGCAUCUGCCGGUAAUUUGGUCUGCUUAUUAGUUGAUAGACAUUGUAAGUCUUUGGUUUGUCCAUCUGUUCUCAUAGUUUGUCUGCUCCUUAAAGAAUUGGAUUAUUUGCUACACUUUUCAGGUGGCUUUAUUUUGCAUAUAUUUCUGAAUUUUCUUUUUCAUGAUAACAAUACCAGAAGGAUGUCCCAAUUUUACAUUCUAUCUUUCCUUUUGCUUUGAAAUAAUUUAAAUCACUUCAAGAAAGAUUAAUAAAGAAAUUAUAUUUCUAUCGAAUCUUUAUGCAAUUAGGUUACUGAACUUUUGAAAUCAAAGGAGGAAAUCAGAUUUUGUGGUUUUGCCCAGUAUACUAUAGAAUGUCAAUAUUGUUCUAUUAUAAAAAUAAUAUUCUAUAUAUUAUAUUCUUAUAUUAGAACAAUACUAUUCUAUAUAUAAUAUGCUAAUAUAAGAAUAAGACAGCAAUAGACCAAUUGUUCCUGUUAAGGAAGACUUGUUGAUUCACUGGUGCCCACCCAUUGUAGAUGGGGUGAGAGGAUCGGGACUCUGCUGGGAUCUGACAUCUGGGAAUUCCCAAGGGUCCAACAUUGGAUGGACAAGUGGAGCAGAAGAAUCCAUCAUUAGGAGGAACAAAGGGUGAGGAAUUCACGGGUCAAUUGUGACUCCAGAGCCUGGAAAACGAACAACAACCAUGAGACUGCUACCAGAGCCAGACUCUAUCCCGGGGAGAAGGAGUGUACAGAACCAAGCAGGUCCUUGCCACAGAGCAUGGGAGAGAAAUGGGGCCCCAAAGUGUCUAUGAAUUGACCGAAAAUGAGGAGGAAAAUGUUGACGUCAUCCAAUUAGCAGAGAUUAACCAGAUUAGGUUUUCUGGCACUUGGCAGAAUGGUAACUCAAAAUAAAAACUGAGUUUAGUAAAAAACAAUACAGAUAUUUUACAUUUCUUGGUCAUCUUGAUUAUCACAAUGACACUAGUAUGGGCCCUAGGUAUAGACAUUUAUUUUUGUGCAGUGUAAACCUUGCUGUGUUCAAGCGUGACUACAGUACUAGAUUCCCGCCAUUCCCUGAAAGGUUAACCUGUUCUUGCUGGGGACUGAGUUCUCUCCCAAUGCCUGUUCUGAAACAGCACAUCAACUGCAAUCAUGGUGCUGUCACUUACCUUUCCCUAACCAUCCUCUUGAAAGUCUGAAUUUCCCAUCCCCCAGAUUGUAUUCCUAUGGAGUGAAAUGAUAGCCUUGAUUCAGCUUGAGUUUGUCAUUCCUCCUUCAACACAGAGACUCAGACUAUUAGUUACUUCCACUCUCAAAAGAGAAAGCUGCCAAGAAGGGGGUUAGAAGCCUAAUGAAAAAAUUAUUUUCAUGCAUCCCCAGUAAUGGUAGAUUUUUGUUGACAUGCAAUAUAAUCAAUUCCUGUUGCUUUUCUGGAUGGCUGGGCCCAGUAAUUUAUACCAGCUUCUGAUCCCCUUAAGCAACUUGGUCCUACUUAUGUGAACACACUAUAUCAUCUCUACAGAAUACACUGUGGUAUUUAUAGUCCCACAGACUUAGGCUGUGGAAGUACUCUUAUUUCAUUUUGUUCUUAACAAUGUAAUCCGGGCAUUUUAUUCUUAAACAGCUUCAAUACCUUGCUGACUUUGAGCUUGUGGCUCACUAAGACCUUCAGGUCUUUCUCACAAGGACAAUUGUAAAGCUACUAUUCCGGGGACCCUGGUAUUUGUUAGGUUUAUUCAAUAUUUAUUCAAUUAUUUUAAAAACUAUUAUUUUGUUUCUGAUCAAUAAGGUAAUGUAUGCUUGCUGUAGAAAAACUGGACAGUUCAGAAAAGCAUAAAGAUGCAAAUAAAAAUAGUUCACCCCCAUCGCUUUGCAUACAUCUUUUAACAUUUGCAAAUAUGCUACAUAUAUUGUUUAGUAGUCAAUUUUUUUCAUGUAGCAAUAUAUCAUGCCAUUAAAUAUUCUGCAAAGAAUGAUGCUUUUGGUUAGAAUUUUAAACCAAAAUAUUCCACUUCUAGAAAUUUACCUAAUAAAUAGUUAUCAUUGCAAAUAUUUAGCUACAAAGAAGUUUAUAGCAGUUUCAUUUAUAAUAAUAAAUAACUGACAUAAUACAAAAAUAUCAAGAGUAAAUACUUACCUAAACAAUGAAGUACAAUGCAGCCGCUAAAUUGUUUUUAAAAUAAUAUUUUAUAACAUAAAAAAGUUGUAUCAAUGAAUUA
rnacentral:lncRNA from 1 species